GGCAUGAGUUUGAUGAAUUUUAAUGGUUUUAGAUUGAUCAUUUAUUGCUUAUUAUACGACAAUCAUCAUGUCAUAUUUUUGCUUUUUUUUUAACUGUUAAUAAAUAAUUGGGAACAAUGAUCAAAGAGAAAUGAAUGAAGUGAAAAUAUAAGUGCAAAAGAGUAUUCAUUUAUAAAUUUGCAGUUAUAAAACUAUUGCUGUUUAAAUCAGUCCAAUACUCACAAUCGCUAACAGUAAAUAUUCAUUCAUUCAUUAUUUAUUAUUCGUAGUUAUCAUUCAAUAUUCACCAUUUCAUUUUUAGAAGUAAUUGCAAUGGUAUCGAUUUUCAACUUAUGAACCUUUUGAGUCUUAACUAAAUAAUAGUUACUGAUAUUCAAUUAUUAUUCACUGAUUGAAAUAAUGCCAAGUAUACCACCACCAAUUAGUGGAUAAUUACUGAAAGUUUUAGUCAAAUUUUAACUUGUUGUUAUACAUCAAAUAAAUUUUGAACCACUCCUAUUGUUAAACUUAUUAUUAAUACUCUAGACAUGAACAUCAGUGAAAUUUGACUAAACUUGAUAAUUAGUAAAAUUAUAAUACAUUUAAAAAAGCAAAGUAUUCAAUAAUUUUAUCCACUCUUUAAU